rnacentral:rRNA from 1 species
GUAGGGUGCAAGCGUUAAUCGGAAUUACUGGGCGUAAAGCGUGCGCAGGCGGUUUUGUAAGACAGUGGUGAAAUCCCCGGGCUCAACCUGGGAACUGCCAUUGUGACUGCAAGGCUAGAGUGCGGCAGAGGGGGAUGGAAUUCCGCGUGUAGCAGUGAAAUGCGUAGAUAUGCGGAGGAACACCGAUGGCGAAGGCAAUCCCCUGGGCCUGCACUGACGCUCAUGCACGAAAGCGUGGGGAGCAAACAGGAUUAGAUACCCUGGUAGUCAAGGGCG